UUGAAAGGGAAACGAUUGAAGUCAGUCGUACUGAUAGGAAAUCAACUUCUCGAGUGCUUGUCGUGGAUGACGUUGAGCUUCACGGCCUUCGUUGCUUACGUUAUGGUGCUUUUGAGGUGUACUUUCCGUAUGGUAGGUCAACAUCGAUUUUGAUCGUCAUAAAAUGAUCGGAGGAAUGUGGCUCUGAUCUCGUAUCGGAGUGUUAUAGCCUUUGGUAGAUGUGACGAUUGGGAUCGAGGAUUGCAACGAAUACCCUUUUGGGCUAUCCGUCUGACCUCUGAAAGUCGCUCGGGUGUUGAAAGCGUGCUUAUGACAUUCUAGUUGGCGGUCAAAAGGUUAGAACGUGAUACAUUCGUUAAGGAUGUUGACGUA
rnacentral:rRNA from 1 species